rnacentral:rRNA from 1 species
AUUGAACGCUGGCGGUAUGCUUUACACAUGCAAGUCGAACGGCAGCACGGGGGCAACCCUGGUGGCGAGUGGCGAACGGGUGAGUAAUACAUCGGAACGUGCCCGGUCGUGGGGGAUAACGUAGCGAAAGUUACGCUAAUACCGCAUACGAUCUGAGGAUGAAAGCGGGGGACCUUCGGGCCUUGGGCGCUCGGGGCGGCCGAUGUCAGAUUAGGUAGUUGGUGGGGUAAAGGCCUACCAAGCCGACGAUCUGUAGCUGGUCUGAGAGGACGACCAGCCACACUGGGACUGAGACACGGCCCAGACUCCUACGGGAGGCAGCAGUGGGGAAUUUUGGACAAUGGGCGCAAGCCUGAUCCAGCCAUUCCGCGUGCAGGACGAAGGCCUUCGGGUUGUAAACUGCUUUUGUAUGGAACGAAAAGGCUCUGGCUAAUACCUGGGGCUCAUGACGGUACCGUAAGAAUAAGCACCGGCUAACUACGUG